GGAUGUGAGCAUGAUCUGGCUGUAACAUCUGUCACCCCACUGAUUGCCAGGGUUUAUUUGGCUCAUCUACCUGGCUAGGUGGGUGACCCCUUCCUCUAUCACUGCUUCAUGUAUGUCCUUCCCAAAGCUGCCUGCUCAAAGAAACAACCUUCCCCAAUAGAGGAGGACUGUUCUUCAGUCAAGGGUACACAAGUAGCUGCACUUCCCUGCUAGAACCUUCAAACAAACUCCCAAGUGCAUGUAGAACAUCCUCUAGGAUAGAAUAACUUUAUACCAGGGCAUAAAACAAACUUCAGUAAGUGUAAAAGGAU
rfam:Heterocephalus glaber contig146801, whole genome shotgun sequence.